rnacentral:rRNA from 1 species
GACGAACGCUGGCGGCGUGCCUAAUACAUGCAAGUAGAACGCACAGUUUAUACCGUAGCUUGCUCCACCAUAGACUGUGAGUUGCGAACGGGUGAGUAACGCGUAGGUAACCUGCCUGGUAGCGGGGGAUAACUAUUGGAAACGAUAGCUAAUACCGCAUAAUAUUAAUUAUUGCAUGAUAAUUAAUUGAAAGGUGCAAUUGCACCACUACCAGAUGGACCUGCGUUGUAUUAGCUAGUAGGUGAGGUAACGGCUCACCUAGGCGACGAUACAUAGCCGACCUGCGAGGGUGAUCGGCCACACUGGGACUGAGACACGGCCCAGCCUCCUACGGGAGGCAGCAGUAGGGAAUCUUCGGCAAUGGACGAAAGUCUGACCGAGCAACGCCGCGUGAGUGAAGAAGGUUUUCGGAUCGUAAAGCUCUGUUGUAAGAGAAGAACGGGUGUGAGAGUGGAAAGUUCACACUGUGACGGUAUCUUACCAGAAAGGGACGGCUAACUACGUG